UAAAGCAUUUUCAAAUAAUAAUCACAUUUCAUUCUAUUCUUCUGUGGACCCGUUUCAAUGAGAGCUGUGCUUUUAACAGACAGAAAUGGCUAAUGAAAGGGGGAAUCAGAGAGAGGAGAAGGGAGGGGAGUGAAAAAUAGAAGAUAAGAGCUUUAAAAAGACGUGUGAAGAGAAGAAACUGAGACUUUUUUCUGUCUAAGAUGCCCUUUUCUUUUAUUCCUCUUAUCAGUUUAGGGUCAGUUUGAUCGGCUGGUUUUUGCUCACCACUGGAUUAUACCAGCAGUGUCCCGACGUGUAAACAAGAGCAACUGAGGUUUAAUGCCUGAUAACAUAAACAGAGUUAUCGUAUGGUUUAUCCCAGGACUAAUAUGGCUGUUUGUCUACUAACUCUGCAAUUUGUAUGCCAGUGAUGUCCGGCCAUGAGGACUGCGUUCUCUUUGAAAAGGAGCACAGAUGUGACCCAGAGGAAUAGAUUUGACUGUUGAUGUGCUCAUCACUGAAUCUGAUGAGCAAGCAGAGGAGAGAAGAGGAAGAAUACAAAGGGGGGGAGUGAAUGGGAUCGAAAUGAGUACUACAACCCCCUCGUCUCUCCUCUUUACCCAUUAAGGAACAACAUAAUAAUUCAUUAACCAAAGCCUCCCCCGCGUGUCGUUUCUGUGUGGGUAUCCAGUCGCAGGAAGAACCCACAUCUGAGAGAGUCUUCUCCAGCUGUAGAGGGUUUUUGUGUGUGUCACUGAAUGACAGGGAGGCAGACGGAGAGAAAGCGAAGGGAGGAGGAUAUCUGGGGCAGCGGAGCUGGUUGAGUCGGCUGCAAAGAUAAACACAGGAUGGAUUUCUGCACAAAGUGACCAAGGAGCAGCUGCCUCACACAUUUAAGACAGGAUGUCUGGGAUGGACUUCCUGCCAGAGGAGCAUAAUGAGACUGCAAUCACUCCAAUAAACAACGGGACUUUCCUCCGUUUUUCCCCAAUUUUACCCUCCACGUCUGCUGCUGCCUCCUCGUUGGGGCGCCAGAGCAACCUCUACGUGUACGUGUGGCUGUUCCUCGGCCUGCUGGCGUUCCUGCUGACGCUACUCAUCAUCUCCCUCCACAGGCUAAAGAACAUCAUUUCCUCUUCAUCCUCUAUCCCAGACUGCAGCAGCGAGGGAGGCAGUUCUUUCACAAACAUGGAGAUCUGUAGCAUUUCGUCCCAGAGGUCUACCAUAUCCACCAUUUCUGCCUGAGGGAGAUGGUUGAGAACUCAUGCAGUACAGACUCCAGUGUUUUUCUGCUUUCAUCUGUGCAUGAGCACGUGCACAUCCCAGGACUUGGACACAAGGACUUCAUAUGUCAUUAAUAGGCAGCAUAAAAAAAAUGUGCAGACAGAAUGUCUUUAAACUUCAUGCAUGGAUGAUCCUACCUUCUGUCAGUCUCUGUGCAGACUUCCAGGGCACUGGCUUAUUAAAUGAUGGGCGAAAGGACUACUUUAUCUUAAUUUAACCAUCUAUAAAAGUAAACAUUUUUCCCCAAGAUAAAUGUAAAAUAUAACGUCAUUUUCUUUUCAAGAUAUUCCAGUUUUUUUAAAUGAGAUUUAACCAGUGAAGUCUGUAGAAAACAUCGCAAAACCCCCAUUAAAAGGACAUUAGAGAUGCCUGCUUUAUAGAGAAAUGUGAGCAUUUCUACCGGUUAUUCAGUUAAAGCAAAAGAUGGCAUUGAAAAUGUAAAGAUGUGUUCAGAUGGAGAUGACACAACUGCAGUUAUAAGAAACUGACAAAAUGCAUAGAGCUUCGCAUCUUGCAGACACUUCAGCUCAAAAGAGACAAAUACUACAAGAUGAUUCUAGUCCUGCCAGACAGGUCUAGCAACGCAACUCUGUCCAGCCUGUCUGCCCACAAAGCUCUCGAUCCCCGUCUCCAUAGAGACCAAAGACGGAGGAGAAUCUUGCGCAGCUGUCAGCCUCAUCUGUAUUCCAGGACGCCGUCGCAAUAGAAAAGAUUUCCCUUCAUUUGUGCUUCACUUCAGCGUCGUUGGAGCUAGUGUGACAUUAUGCACUGAAUUUUGAGCCAAUUCCUUUCACUUCAUUCACAUUUUUUUUAUAAAAUUAUUUUGCGUAUUGAAAACAACCAUGUAAGCAACAAGCAAAAACAAACCCAGCAAGUAACCCCGCUUUUGGAUAAAAACACGUUUUAUUAAACACCCCCCUAAAAGCCUGUAAAAAUCAUGUCGGAAACUAAUCCCUAUGGUCCAUUUUUAAUAGAGUAGAUAACGAAUAAGUCUUCAUUAUACAAUAUUGAACUUUAUUUUAUGUUUUCUUCCUAUAUUAAAAGGGAGGAGUGUGUCAAUGCUCUCAUUCAAAAACAGCAAAUCACACAAAAAGGGAUCCAACUGAAAAUAUUGUAGCGCAUGUAAACACGCUAAAGUACAAGUUAAGCAUAUUUAGACCAUUUUUUGCUGCAGCCCCAUUAUAAUUGCUGUUUUUUUGGUCAUUUUUUCACUUUGCAAACAUGGUUUUUAAAUCAAAAAAGCAAACACAUGCUUACAUUUAAAGAGGACAAUAAAGCUGGUUCAAAGUCAAGAGUUUGUUUGUUGGUCAAGUCGUGAGAUUAGAGACUGUCCAAAAAGAAUGCGAAGAACAAACAUACAUACAUACAUGCCUUUCAUGAAAUUGAUAUACUGUAAUAAAAAAAAGAAUAUAUUGAAGUGGAUAUGACAUAAUCAAGAGAAAACAAAAACUAAUAAAUAAAAUCAAGACUCAGCAGCUUACAAAUGCAUCUUUUUUUUUAAAUUAUUUUCCCUUUUUUUUUCUCUUGCUAUUAAGAGUUUCUAGAAUUAAGACAUCCCUUUUUUGUUUUUUUACCCCAUCCUGCUUAAGAUUCGUCUUGUUUACUGGAAAUGUUCUUCAUAUAUUCACACGCAUGCGUCCCUGUAGUGUUUCUCCUUUAAAUUCACUCUGAAUUAUUCACCGGACUCUGGAUAGCAGUCACCAUGCUUUUAUUUCCCUCUCGCCCUUUUACAACUCCUUGAUGACGUCAUCCCCAAUAGCCCGUCUUUUGCUAUACACUACAGUCCCUUAAAAUACAAACCUCUGGUCAGCUGUGCGUAAAAGGCGCGUGUGUUAUUCUCCUCCUUUACGUUUCUUCCUGCGCCGGUUCAUAAAUGAUUAAUGAGAAAUGAAUAUGCAAACAUUCAUAAACAGUGUGGGUCAGCCAAUCAGAAAGCAGAUCAUGUGGAGCUACUGUGAGAUUUCGGCUUCACAGUAAACUGAAACCUGGAAAUACUGUAGUUUUCUUGGUAAUUCUCAGAUCAGAUUAUUCCCAACUGGAUCAUAAUUCACAGCUUGUGCGUUUGUGUUUAUGCCACAAUUAUAGACCCAAUUUCGGGGAAAACCAUGGGUGACAGCACGGAAAGAGGAAAGUUACGCAUUUGAUGUCGUUUUCUACCUUAAGUAGAUUAUAUAUAAAUCACAUAAAAUUGGAUCCGAGUUUCUAUAUUUAACGUCCUUCAAUCACGUGGUGAAGUCUGUCGAUAAUGAGGGACGCAGGACGGGCAAGGGGCCCUAUUUUCAGCCGCAGAGCGCGGAGCGAUCAAUGCGUUCUAAAGCGCGGAGACGCACUUCCAAUCACAGUUUCUGUUGACAUUUUAAAAAUAGAAAUACAUUUCAAACAUGGCUGUAUAUUUUUUUUUGGUGACAUAUAGAUAAAAAAACAUUGUUAAAGCACGUACCUGCAUGCUUUUAUUCCAAUCAAAGCUGCUCCUUAUUGCGGCUUACAAGCAGUCACUCCUUUCAGAAUAAAAGUCUCUCGGGUCAUUGAGUGGAACAAAUUUGUGUCUUAUUUCAUAUUUAAGAAAGUUAAUAACUUCAGUUAUUCUUCUUCUAUCAUAAAAAUUAAAAGAAUUCCAAGAACUGAUCUAAUAAGUGUAAACAUAUAGCCUAUUUAAAAAAGAGCUCCUGCUCAUUGAUUUAUCAGGAGUUAAAUGACUGCACCUGUCUGCAAUUAUACAUUACAUUUGGUUGUACAUCAAUUUCAACCCUCCAAUGGGGUUAGGUGGGUUCAGCAAAUGAAUGAAUGCAUAGAUUUCAUCCUUACCUUUUUUCGUAAACAGAUGAAUGUGAGGCCUAAAGUUAUACAUAAAGUUAAAUAUGUUUUUACUUUUUUGCGCAUUAAAAACAAUUAAAUUUAUCCAUUAAAGUAGGGCCAGUGACUUUUGAACUAAAUACUAGAUUUUUUUAGUUUAUUUAAGUAUUAUGAAAACAGUAUUUUCAAGCAAAACCCUUGCAUUUAUAUAAAUAUGACAAAAAAUGCACAUUAAUAAAAAAAUCCCAGACCUCAAAUUCUUUGCAUAUUUUAUUUUUCUUAUGAUUUUUUUUCCAACUCACGCAUGUCAUAAUUUACAUCUUUGCAAUAAAACAUGAAUACAAUAGUUUUUUUUAGGGUUUCAUAGAUCCAAAAAUAUUUAACCUUUUUUUUUUUUUUGGAUAAGUAAGUUGAACCUGUGGAUUGAGUAUGUGCAUGUGCGCGUUUGAUCGAGAUGGCUUCACACAUACAGAACACCCUAGAUGUCAGCCUGCCUUUUGUCUGCUCCCACCAGCCUCUAACAGCUACAAAAAUCAUGAUAUUGCUUACAGCUGGGAUGUUGUAAAACUGAGAAUCACACGUCUUAAAUACACACAUUAAUGCACAAAUAAUCCAGAAGGAAAAAAAACGAAAAGAUGGACCGAAACAAAAAAGGGCGGCCGACC